rnacentral:tRNA from 1 species
GUCCUCGUAGCUCAGCUGGAUAGAGCACUCGCCUCCUAAGCGAGGGGUCGCGCGUUCGAAUCGCGCCGGGGACG